UCCUAGGCCCGCGGGCUAGAGGCACUUUACCGCCCGGCGGGAGCGCCUCUCCUCCGCGUCCCUCGCCCCAGCCCCCUGCCCGCCCCACUUUGGGACCCUCCAGCCGCUUUCCCCACAAAUGAGAUCUUUGCAAUGAGCAAACGAAAGUGGCGCGGAUUUCGGGGCGCCCAGCAGGAGCGAGCGCAGCCGCCAGCCGCAAGUCCGCAGCCGUGUCCCGCGCCCCACGCCGGCCUCCCCGGCGGCAGCCGGAGACGAGCGCCAGCACCGGCGGGACAGCAGCAGAUGCGGGCCGAGAGCCGGUCAGGGGCGCAGAGGCGGAGGGGAUCGGCGCGGCGGGGAGCUCACCGCGAAGCUGGAGGCUGCGUCCGCGGGCGCACCAGGAGCUCAGGCAGCGAGCGAUCGAACGCUCUGUGGCAGGCGGUGGACGCUGCUGAAGGGCGCCGCAGACGAGGCGCUGACCUUGCGCUCACUCCCCUCGCUGGGGAAGGACACACUCGCUGGCGUCAGCCCGGCCGGCCUGGGAAGUAGGACUAAGGACCCGAACUGCAACCCUCCACACCAGACAGCACAGACCACCCCAAGGCUGCUCAAUCUGCCCAAAGCCAAAAGAGCUCCCCUGCCAGGACCUCGGUGCCGUGGAGACUGCGGGGAACCUGCUCUGCCCACACCUGCUCUGGCCCCUAGACGGAAGCACCUGGAGCCAACCACGGAACUCCAGAUCCCAGCUGUGUGACUGAAUCCACGCCAGCCUCUCUGAGCCAAAGCUGCUUGCAGAAGGGGGAGAUCCCAGUUCGAAGACUCCCGCGCAGAGCCUGUGGCCCUCUCUGCCAGGCCUCAGGGUGCCUGAGACACUCACCUCUCUGCCUCGCAGUUGGGGCUGAGGCUGGGGCUGGCUGCCAGCCUCAGUUCUGGGAGCGCUGGGGUCGCCUGGGCCACAGGCCACAGCAGCUCACCUCAGGACUGGGCUCUCUGGCCUGCUGGGGCUCAGGCUGUGGGGCAGGCUGGGCAGGGGGCUGAGCUGGCAGCGAUUCAGAGCCCUGGGGCUGGGGGCUGGAAUCCACCUCCUCCCACACAAGCUCGGUGGUGACUCUUCGGCCCCUGGGGAAAAACAAAAAGAUAUUGCUGAGAUGACCUCUUUUAAAAGCAAAGCCCCCCUCCCCAUACACCCCAAGCCUGAGCCCUGUCCCAUCCCCCUCCCCGGGUUCCUUCAGGUCACCUUGUCAGGAUCUGGGCAGCGGCUUCCCCCUCUAGCCCCUCCCCUGCCUAGAGCUCCCUCUUUCAAAGUAUAAGGGAGGGAAGAAGUGGUGAGAAGUUUGCCUAGAAAGGGCUUCCCGGUGCUGAUGGAGAGGCCGAGACCCUUCUGUUGGACAGGCUGCCCUGUUCCUGGGUGAGGAUGGGCUUCUGCCUGGCACUGGGGGUGGAGGGUGCACACGAAUGGCCCGCCUUGAGGGGUCAUGGCACGGAAUAUGAAAGCCUCCUCCACCUCCAAACACCCCCACCUUGGAAGGAGAUAAGGAGGGGGCCCCAGCAAAAGCCACUGGACACACAGCUCUGCUUGACGAGGCCAGUGAGGGACGGCGUGGCUGUGCUUCCUGGGGAAAUGAACCCCCUCCCCACAGACACCACCCUGGGUGGAUCGAGGAGUCUGGGUCCAGGGUGCAACAGAGAAAAACUUCAUGCAUGAAUGAGCAUUCCCAGGGAAACUGCCUUGGCCCCAGGGCGCCUCUCUGUGCCAGGGAGGCUGGGAGAGCAGCAAGGGGGACCAGGUGCGCCAUCAGGAGGAGAGAAGCUAAACCUAGGGGGGACAUGGAGGGCGGUUGUUGCCUCUCCCGGCAUUUCUCCUCAGUCUCCUGUCCAAUUUCUUGCUGGUGGUCAGGAGGCAUAGGGAGGCAGGAGGGAAGGAAGCUUUACCUGUAAAAUGGUGUAUAUAUGUAUAAAUAAAAUCUCUGCGCCAGAAAAAAAAAAAAAAAAAAAAAAAAAAAAAAAAAAAAAAAAA
rnacentral:lncRNA from 1 species